rnacentral:rRNA from 1 species
CAGUCGCCGCGGGAAUACGUAGGGUGCAAGCGUUGUCCGGAAUCAUUGGGCGUAAAGCGCGCGUAGGUGGCCAUUUAAGUCCGCUGUGAAAGUCAAAGGCUCAACCUUUGAAAGCCGGUGGAUACUGGAUGGCUAGAGUACGGAAGAGGCGAGUGGAAUUCCUGGUGUAGCGGUGGAAUGCGCAGAUAUCAGGAGGAACACCAAUAGCGAAGGCAGCUCGCUGGUCCUUUACUGACGCUGAGGCGCGAAAGCGUGGGGAGCGAACAGGAUUAGAUACCCCAGUAGUCCCUGUCUCUUAUAC